rnacentral:rRNA from 1 species
UACAGAGGUCUCAAGCGUUGUUCGGAUUCAUUGGGCGUAAAGGGUGCGUAGGCGGCGCGGUAAGUCGGGUGUGAAAUCUCGGAGCUUAACUCCGAAACUGCAUUCGAUACUGCCGUGCUUGAGGACUGGAGAGGAGACUGGAAUUUACGGUGUAGCGGUGAAAUGCGUAGAUAUCAGGAGGAACACCGAUUGCGAAGGCAGCUCGCUGGGACGUUACUGACGCUGAGACGCGAAAGCGUGGGGAGCAAACAGG